rnacentral:piRNA from 1 species
GGAUAAGAGGAGACUAAUGACCUGCCAGA